rnacentral:lncRNA from 1 species
UCACUCCUCUGUUCCUAUCCUUGCCAUGCUUUUCUUUGUAACUCAGGGUGGAGCCAGGUAGGGUGGUUGACUCUCUCUGCACUCUAGUUUCUCAAUUAUUCUAUGCUUCAGUUCCUACUACUCUCCCCAUCCAUCAUGCUAUUGCAUCUAUUGGCCUCCCUAUGUUUCUCAAACAAGACAAGCACGCUCCCAGGUCAUGGCCUGUGCGUUUGCUGUUAUAUCCGUUUGGAACACUCUUUACACACAGGUCUUCUCUCUGAUCAUGGGCUUCUCUCAGAUCAGUGAGGCCAUCCUUGAUCAUUCUAUUUCAAAUUGUCUCCAUAUCCCCACCCCAUCUCCAGUUUCUCUUCCCUGCUUUAUUUUUCUGCGCUCAUUUACCAGCUUCUCAUAUACAAUAUAACUUAUUUAUAAUUUGUUUGUUUAUCUCUCUCUAGAAAAAGGGCAGAAAUUUUGGUCUUUUUCCUUUCUUUACCCUAGCCAAAGCAUCAAAAAUAGUGCUUAGCAUAUAGUAAGUAAUCAAUAUGUAUUAAAUAUAUGUGUGCAUGAAUGAAUGAAUACGUGAAUGCAUGAACAAAUUAAUGAAUAUUAUUUGGCAGUUUCAACUCAGGAGCCAGGAUGUAAAUGAUGACUGAUACCAAAGCCUAUUAUGAGAGGUUCUAUACAGCAAAAAUCUCCAGAUAGAUUCUCAGAAUCAGUAGGGCAACUCAUAAACAUCAAAUGAAUAAAAGUUUUUGGAGAUAGAAGGAAUUCAUGAAAAAGGCCUUUUGGAGGGAACUGUCCUGAGAUUAGUGUCUUCUCUAUACAACAGGGAAGCAUGAGAAGGAUACAGUACGUUUCCUCUGAAGUCGAAAGAGAAGAACAUCAACAGGAUUACUCACAGAAGUUGCUCUGCAACCUCUAAGUUUGGGAACCUGAUAAAUAUAAAGUGAUUGUAGCUAUUUUUCUGAGGAAUGAUACUGUGUCCAGAAUUUAUUCCUUCCGGUGGGUUCUUGGUCUCACUGACUUCAAGAAUGAAGCCGCGGACCUUCACGGAUGGAACACCAGGCUAUAGUUUCAGGAAGCCAGACUUGACCCAGACUUGACCUUGCAAAAAAUAGCAACCCCUUCAGAACUGGUAAAGCAAUGAGAAAGAAUUGCUCAGAACUUCAUGGAGCUGAGCCAUUCACCCAUCCUGGAACAUCCACCUUCCUCUGGAAUUAUUUUUUUAAUGUUUUCUUCCUUCUUGUUUAAUCCACUAAUUCUCUCUCUUUUCCUCUGUUUCUCUCUCUCUCAUCUCUGUUCCUUUCCAUAGCAACAUAGACUAUAUAUGAGUAAAUAUUUGAAUAUAUUUAAUAAUAAAAGUACAUACACAAAUAUUUACAGAACUGCUCAAUCAGAAAAAAUACACUUAAUAAAUAAUUGUUCACCAAUGGCCUUGAUGUGCUGUAAUUUGUAUUUCCACCAAAUGAGUCCCAGUUACCUUUUAUGUGUAUUUUCCAUGCUUGUUCACCUAUUUGACUUUAUACUAAAAUUAUAUUAAAUUUCUCUCUAAUGUUUUGAUUUUCUAAUAAAAUGUUGGUCAUGUUUAGAUGUUAUCAAAAUCAAUAAUUUUUUCUUUUCUUAUCAUAAGUCAGAGCAAUCUUAAUCUUAUGUUAGAAUAAUGGAACUCUUAUUCCUAACACACAGUUAU